GCUUGUGCACACCUGUUCUGAUUUCUCAUCAGAGCUGCUUGGUGUUUCUGAUGUGUCUUUCACAAAGUAGUUAUCCACCAGAUCUAUCUGUCUGCAUUCUUGGCGGCAUAUCGGACAUCUGAUUACCCCAACUUGCUGCACGUCGCCGUUGGCGCCGCCGGGCACGGGCACGCUGAGCUGCCGCUCGGGCUCGGGCAGACAGCGGCGGCAGAAGGAGUGCAGGCAGGGCAGCAGUUUGGGCUCAGCCUCGCGCCGGCUCUGCAGGCUCUGCGCGCACACGGCGCAGGUGUCCAGCAGCGAGAAAGGGCCCGGCGCCGCCGGCGUCAGCGGGGGAACCGGGCUGGGGCCCGGCCCCGGAACCACCCCGGGCCCCGCCUCGGCCUCGGCCUCCCCGAGACCACGCUCCGCCGCCGCCGCCGCCGCCGCGCCCGGGCUCUCCCGCUCCUCGAGAGGCGCUGCGGAGGGCGCGGGCGGCGCCGCACCCGAGGGGGACGCGGCCGUGGGCUCCAGGCCGCCGCCGCCGCCCGGCCCGGCCUCGGCAGCCCCCUCCCCGCCGCCGCCGCCUCCUUUGUUUUCCGCCAUGUUUCCUCCUUUGAACCCAACUCCCCGCUCCGCGCACGCACGGCGUCACAACGCGCCGUGCGCGCUCCCCAGCGGGAGGGCGGGUCCGGGGCUCGCGCAGGCGUGGCCGCCCGGUGCGAAGCGGUGCGCGGACAGACGAGACGUGACGUCACGUGACGCACAGUCGGCUAGAGCGCCGCGAGCGCCUUUCCGCGAGCUCCGGCGUGAGUCGCG
rnacentral:lncRNA from 1 species